rnacentral:rRNA from 1 species
AUGAGAGACCCUCAGAUGUUUCAGUGCUUACGAAAACUCAUAAUUUCCAAUUGGACAAGGUGUAAGAAUAUACCUGUAGUAUGGCUGUCACCCUCACUGGAGUACUUACACUUAAACAACAUGGAUAAACUGAAGACAUUGUGUGAUAACCUUUGCAUAGAAGGUGGAGGACGCAGUACCCCUCUACAAAUUUUCCCAAAGUUGAAGGUGAUGGUCUUGAAAGUGCUAUGUAGUCUAGAGGGAUGGGCAGAAAACAGUGCCGGGGUGGCCAUUGAUAGCUCAGUAAUAUUCCCGGCGCUUGAGAAGCUAAAAAUCUACACCUGCCCUAGGGUUGCAAGUUUUCCACUGAGCCCCGUUCUCAAAGACCUGACGUUAGCGGGAUAUUACCUGCAGGUGGAGUGUUUACGGGAUAUUCCAAGGUUGCCUACUUCCCUUGAAAUUUUGUCGAUUAAAUGCUUCGGAAGUUUGGUGGCGCUGCCGUCAAACCUUGGAGAACUGGCAAAGCUGAGCGAACUAUUGGUGAAUAGCUGCAAUAGCUUGAAAGGGUUGCCUGACGGGAUGGAUGGCCUCACUUCUCUUCAGAAAUUGGAGAUCGGUCAUUGUCCAGCGAUGGAGGAAGUCCCGAAUGGUCUCCUUCAGCGGUUACCGGCCCUUACAGGGCUGCCCCGAGUUGGAAAGACGAUGCAGAGAAGGUGGGGAGUAUUUCCACCACUUGGUCCCUAUCCGAUUUAA